CCUACGGGAGGCAGCAGUGGGGAAUCUUGCGCUAAUGCGGGAAACCGUGACGCAGCGACGCCGCGUGAGGGAAGAAGGCCUUCGGGUUGUGAACCUCUUUCAGGAGGGACGAAGCCACUCGGGUUAAUAGCCCAGAGGGUGACGGUACCUCCAGAAGAAGCCCCGGCUAACUACGUACCAGCAGCCGCGGUAAUACGUAGGGGGCAAGCGUUGUCCGGAUUUAUUGGGCGUAAAGAGCGUGUAGGCGGCUAGAUAGGUCCAUUGUGAAAACUCGAGGCUCAACCUCGAGACGUCGAUGGAAACCAUCUGGCUAGAGUCCGGAAGAGGAGAGUGGAAUUCCUGGUGUAGCGGUGAAAUGCGCAGAUAUCAGGAAGAACACCCGUGGCGAAGGCGGCUCUCUGGUACGUGACUGACGCUGAGACGCGAAAGCGUGGGGAGCAAACAGGAUUAGAUACCCUGGUAGUCCACGCCGUAAACGAUGGGUGCUAGGUGUGGGGGGUGUCAACCCCCUCCGUGCCGAAGCUAACGCAUUAAGCACCCCGCCUGGGGAGUACGGCCGCAAGGCUAAAACUCAAAGGAAUUGACGGA
rnacentral:rRNA from 1 species